rnacentral:misc_RNA from 1 species
AAAAGAAGAAAAUAGUGGCCAAGAACUCAAGAUUUGAAUCUUUGAUGUCACGCAUUACAGUACAAGAAUUUAAUCCUUAUGCUACUAACCCAAUGCAUAAUUUCAGAAAUUCUGUCAGGAUGAUACACAUGAUUACUCUACCCUGAAACUCUCAUCUGAAAGAAUUUUAUCAUUGAUCUUUGCCCUCAUGCAUUACGAGGAAGAUUGAGAAAGGGAAUGAAGUUAUCAACACUUUGAAUACUACCACUGAUUUACAAUGCCUCCCAGGAAGGAUUGCCUUGG